rnacentral:rRNA from 1 species
UUGAAGCGUGAUGGCUGAGAGCCUUAUACAUGCAAGUCGUACGAGAUUAAACUCAAGUGGCGGACGGGUGAGUAACACGUAAGAAUUUGCCUUUAGGAGGGGGACAACAAUUGGAAAUGAUUGCUAAUACCCCAUAUGCUUUCGAGUGAAACGGAUUUUUCCGCCUAAAGAGAAGCUUGCGCCUGAUUAGCUUGUUGGUGAGGUAAUGGCUCACCAAGGCGACGAUCAGUAUCUGGUUUGAGAGGACGAUCAGACACACUGGAACUGAGACACGGUCCAGACUCCUACGGGAGGCAGCAGUAGGGAAUUUUCCGCAAUGGGCGAAAGCCUGACGGAGCAAUCUCGCGUGAGGGAUGACGGCCUAUGGGUUGUAAACCUCUUUUUUCAGGGAGGAAUAAAUGACGUGUACCUGAAGAAUAAGCAUCGGCUAACUCCGUGCCAGCAGCCGCGGUAAGACGGAGGAUGCAAGUGUUAUCCGGAAUCACUGGGCGUAAAGCGUCUGUAGGUUGUUUAAUAAGUCAACUGUUAAAUCUUAAAGCUUAACUUUAAAAUCGCAGUCGAAACUAUUAGACUAGAGUAUAGUAGGGGUAAAGGGAAUUUCCAGUGGAGCGGUGAAAUGCGUAGAGAUUGGAAAGAACACCGAUGGCGAAGGCACUUUACUGGGCUAUUACUAACACUCAGAGACGAAAGCUAGGGUAGCAAAUGGGAUUAGAUACCCCAGUAGUCCUAGCCGUAAACAAUGGAUACUAGAUGUUGAACAGAUCGACCUGUGCAGUAUUAAAGCUAACGCGUUAAGUAUCCCGCCUGGGAAGUAUGCUCGCAAGAGUGAAACUCAAUGAAUUGACGG